rnacentral:rRNA from 1 species
AGAGUUUGAUUCUGGCUCAGGAUGAACGCUGGCGGCGUGCUUAACACAUGCAAGUCGAACGAAGCAUAUUCAUCAGAUUCCUUCGGGAAGAAGAUUUAUAUGACUGAGUGGCGGACGGGUGAGUAACGCGUGGGUAACCUGCCUCACAGCAGGGGGAUAGCAGCUGGAAACGGCUGAUAAUACCGCAUAAGCGCACAGCUUCGCAUGAAGCGGUGUGAAAAACUCCGGUGGUGUGAGAUGGACCCGCGUCUGAUUAGCUUGUUGGCGGGGUAACGGCCCACCAAGGCGACGAUCAGUAGCCGACCUGAGAGGGUGACCGGCCACAUUGGGACUGAGACACGGCCCAGACUCCUACGGGAGGCAGCAGUGGGGAAUAUUGCACAAUGGAGGAAACUCUGAUGCAGCGACGCCGCGUGAGUGAAGAAGUAAUUCGUUAUGUAAAGCUCUAUCAGCGGGGAAGAUAGUGACGGUUCCUGACUAAGAAGCUCCGGCUAAAUACGUUCCAGCAACCGCGGUAAUUCGUAUGGAGCAAGCGUUAUCCGGAUUUACUUGGUGUAAAGGGAGGGUAGGUGGCAUCACAAGUCAUAAGUGAAAACCCGGGGCUCAACCCCGGGACUGCUUUUGAAACUGUGCGGCUUGAGUGCAGGAGAGGCAAGUGGAAUUCCUAGUGUUGCGGUGAAAUGCGUUGAUAUUAGGAGGAACACCAGUGGCGAAGGCGGCUUUCUUGACUGUAACUGACACUGAGGCUUGAAAGCGUGGGGAGCAAACAAGAUUAGAUACCCUGGUAGUUCACCCCGUAAACGAUGAAUUCUAAGUUCUGGGGCCCAAUAGGGGCUUCGGUGCCGCAGCAAACGCAAUAAGUAUUCCACCUGGGGAGUACGUUCGCAAGAAUGAAACUCAAAGGAAUUGACGGGGACCCGCACAAGCGGUGGAGCAUGUGGUUUAAUUCGAAGCAACGCGAAGAACCUUACCAAGUCUUGACAUCCCUCUGACAGUGUAUGUAAUGUACUUUUCCUUCGGGACAGAGGAGACAGGUGGUGCAUGGUUGUCGUCAGCUCGUGUCGUGAGAUGUUGGGUUAAGUCCCGCAACGAGCGCAACCCCUAUCCUUAGUAGCCAGCACGUAACGGUGGGCACUCUAGGGAGACUGCCAGGGAUAACCUGGAGGAAGGUGGGGAUGACGUCAAAUCAUCAUGCCCCUUAUGACUUGGGCUACACACGUGCUACAAUGGCGUAAACAAAGUGAAGCGAGAGUGUGAGCUUAAGCAAAUCACAGAAAUAACGUCUCAGUUCGGAUUGUAGUCUGCAACUCGACCACAUGAAGC